CGGGUCUGAGACUCUCUAGGAUCUUUUCUCAAAGUAGGUUAAUUCAUUUUUUCCUCCUUCUUGCUUCUUUACUUAAUUUACUCUUUAGCCUUUAUGUUGACUCCCCAGCCUCUCUUGCAGAUUGGACACCAGCUCAUCGCCAACAUCGAGGCGAUGAAGAUCGUCAAGAGGGAGGCAACCCUGGAGGAGGAAGGUCGCCUGGCUGAGGCCACCCGCCUCGAGGAGAAGAUCGCCGAGGUCACAAGUCUCCAGGAGGCACUGCAGAAGGAGGGACAAACCUCGUCCAAACUGAGGGCCACCUUGGAGG
rnacentral:lncRNA from 1 species